UCAUAAUGUCCACGUUCUAUUGAGAAUGC
rnacentral:sRNA from 1 species